CGCAACUUGCGCCCUCUGGUAUUCCGGAGGGCAUGCCUGUUUGAGUGUCAUGUAGCCUCAAUCCCCCGGGUUUCCGGGAAGAUUGGACUUGGGUGUCUGCCGUUUCACACGGCUCGCCUUAAAUGACUUAGUGGACGAAUUGAUGUAAAUCAAGAGUAAUAAGUUUCUUUUGAUGAAAUCGAUUUACCGCUCAUAACCUGCUUCGGCACUUUAUGACUCUGACCUCAAAUCAGGUAGGACUACCCGCUGAACUUAA
rnacentral:misc_RNA from 1 species